rnacentral:lncRNA from 1 species
UGUCUCUUGAUAUCUUUGGACGAAUUCCUUGAUGGGCUAAGACAAAUCUGCUCUCUGGGCUUUUUAGAAAGUCCUCCUGGAUGCCAAACAUAAGUUUGCAAACUUCCAAACCAAUCAGGCCUAAAACACUUCAGGUAUAGAACCAGAACGACCCAUUUUGGUAAAUAAAGAGUAUCUUUGUGAUCCGAUGUCCAUUUUUCCUGAUCUUGGGCUUGUUGGAACCAGAAGAGAUCCAUUAAGAUUCUCCAAGUGGUUUCAUGUCGAAAUUGUUUCGGAGGUAGGCUCGGGAGCUCGAUCUAUGGCUCAGACGUGUAACCGGGCCUGAAGCAGAUCCGCUGAAUUGUAAAAUUCAUAUCUUUCAUGUCUGAAGACGUUUUGAUGUGAAUAAAAUUCUCCCUGCUUCUGUGAUGAAGGAAGAGUCCAGAAAAAAAUGUUUCAUAGAUUGAUUCCUUCUGGAUUGGUCGGAAUCUUCCAUUGAACGUGCGUCUCUCCAAAUCGAGUAAGCUCGAGUUUGCCUGAUUGUAAAAGUGAAUAACUCCUUCAUUUGAGCUCGGAUUGGACUGAAUCUUCUUUGUGGCUGGCUCUAGAUGAGGUGAGAAUGUAUCCCAAGUGGUAUUUGGGUUGAAACAGUUUACCUUGGACUUCGUUUGUGUCGAACAAUGCACAAGGGUCUUAUCUGGGGCUUUCAUGAUCAUAUCAUUCCCCUCCUCUUCAAAAAGUUUCGUCCUCGAAACUGCAAAACCUUGGGUUGGGAAUUGUUGACAUGAGACUGGGAAACUCUCCUUGAUUAGCAUAGAAUAGAUGACUCCCUGUUGUUGACUCUGAGUUCUGUUUGCACCGCUUUGUGGGAAGUCUCCUAACUUGCCUUUUGUUCCUUCAAAAUCGAAACCCUGCUCUGUUUUUCUUGGCCUCUCUGAGAGUGCAUCAGCUGAAUCAAAUGUUCCCCUUAUACUGUGCUUCGUGGCUUCCUCAUUCUUUGAUUCAAGUUUCAGCUGAUCUUUGUAGAUCUCCUUUUGUUUCUGCUCCUCGGCUUUAGUUUGCUCACUUAGUGAACUUGUCACCAAUAGAUCGCCCUUAACCGGUAACUCCCCAUCUUUCUCCAAAGAUGGAACUGAAUCAGAAACAACAUUUUCUUCCCUGAACUCUAUCUUCCCAUUGGCUAGAAGAACACAUGUUUUCUUGCUGGUGCAUUUAUCGGCAUAGUGCCCUUCCUCUAGACACUUAAGACAUCUCACAACAAAGGUUGGUGAUGUGGAAGCCAAAACCUUGCCUUUAGGGUUUUGAGUUUCUGUGAAAGGCUUAGUGAAUACCUUUUGUUUGGCAAUGGGCUGCUUCUCCACUUGUUGGUAAAUCGGACUGGAAACUCCAUAAGUCAAUUGAGAAGAUCUCCUUGGCUUCUGAUGCUUUCUUUGUAGUUGAUCAAUCAUCCGAUGUAACUCUUCUCCUCGGGUUUUCAAUAUUUGCUCAAACCGAGCCGCCAAUGCUUCCAUCAGGAGUUUGUUGUUAUCGUUGCUGCUGCUGGUUUUAUCUUGAUGAUCAUCCAUCUUUGACCCAAGCUUCUAUGUGUGCUCUGAUACCACUUGAUGUGAUCUUCCCAAGGAUCGGCACAAAGAGGCUUGAGAGAGAGAUAUAAUAGAAACAGAAGGUGCGGAAUAACCUCUGUUCUGAGAGAUAAAUCGAUAAAGAUGUUGCUAAGUAACGAAUCGAUCACAAAAGAGAGAUAAGAGAUGAUAAAGAUGUUGCACAAAGCAACGAGUCACUCUCAAAGAUAGAUGAGAAAUGAUAAAGAUGUUACACAAGGCAACGAAUCACUCUCAAAAGACAAGAGAAGUUUUCUUCAAGUUUUGAUAAGAGAAAAGAGUUUUAUUGAUUAAUUUUGAUGAUCCAAUCCAGUAUGAUUAUUCCUGAGAUCUUACAUGAAUUUAUAUAGGAAAUAAGAUGUAGAAAACAAAGAAAUUUCGUAACUAGGCAAAAGACUAGUCAAAACAUUAACUUCAGAGUUGAAUAACUCUUGAUCUACUUUGAAUCUUGACUAACUCUUGAACUUCUUCUUCACUUGAUUUGUCUCUUGAUAUCUUUGGACGAAUUCCUUGAUGGGCUAAGACAAAUCUGCUCUCUGGGCUUUUUAGAAAGUCCUCCUGGAUGCCAAACAUAAGUUUGCAAACUUCCAAACCAAUCAGGCCUAAAACACUUCAGGUAUAGAACCAGAACGACCCAUUUUGGGAAAUAAAGAGUAUCUUUGUGAUCCGAUGUCCAUUUUUCCUGAUCUUAGGCUUGUUGGAACCAGAAGAGAUCCAUUAAGAUUCUCCAAGUGGUUUCAUGUCGAAAUUGUUUCGGAGGUAGGCUCGGGAGCUCGAUCUUUGGCUCAGAUGUGUAAUCGGGCCAGAAGCAGAUCCGCUGAAUUGUAAAAUUCAUAUCUUUCAUGUAUGAAGACGUUUUGAUGUGAAUAAAAUUCUCCCUGCUUCUGUGAUGAAUGAAGAGUCCAGAAAAAAUUGUUUCAUAUAUUGAUUCCUUCUGGAUUGGUCGGAAUCUUCCAUUGAACGUGCGUCUCUCCAAAUCGAGUAAGCUUGAGUUUGCCUGAUUGUAAAAGUGAAUAACUCCUUCAUUUGAGCUCGGAUUGGACUGAAUCUUCUUUGAGGCUGGCUCUAGAUGAGGUGAGAAUGUAUCCCAAGUGGUAUUUGGGCUGAAACAGUUUACCUUGGACUUCGUUUGUGUCGAACAAUGCACAAGGGUCUUAUCUG